AAGCACAUAGUGCACACUGUGGGAAUUUACGACUGUGCGUAAAUCCCCCCCUAAUAUUGGUAUGAUCCGAGCUCAGGCACUAAGCGGGGCAGGGCAGCUGCUGCCUGCGAGUGCGCUGUUGGAGAAACGGAGCCAGGCAGACAGACUAGAACUGAAGUUCGACCAGUUGUUACCCUCCACGGCUAAAUAAAUCGGUUUCAGUAAUGUAUUGAUAUGCAAGAAUGGACAUAAGGAGCUUCUUUCAAAGAAAAAACUCAGCACAAAGAGGGAGAGAGAGGAACAGAGAGGGAGAGAGAGGAACAGAGAGGGAGAUGGAGAAUGAGGACAGAACAGAGAUGGAACAAGAGCAGGUGAGACACAUGUUAGUCAAAUGGUUGUUUACCAAAAGUAUCACCGUAUCAUAGGUACUCAUGUACUGUAUCUCGUAGCUAGUGUUUCUUUUUAGGUUUGUUAUUUUUCAAGUUAUAUAUUUAUUAAGU